UGGUGUGCAUGCCCAACAGCAAGGACAGAAUUAAGAACUCCACUGGCACUAGGAUUUUAGGUCAUCAUAAAUUAAAAUUAAAUUUUCUUCACUCAGAAACUAUUAGGAUAAUGGAAUUAUCUGUUUAUUUUCUGAAAUUUGCGUAAUCAAACAGUA